GUGCCAGCCGCCGCGGUAAUACAGAGGUGGCAAGCGUUGUUCGGAAUUACUGGGCGUAAAGGGCGCGUAGGCGGCCUUGUAAGUCCUGUGUGAAAUCCCCCGGCUCAACUGGGGAACUGCACAGGAGACUGCUUGGCUUGAGUUCGGGAGAGGGAAGCGGAAUUCCGGGUGUAGCGGUGAAAUGCGUAGAUAUCCGGAGGAACACCGGUGGCGAAGGCGGCUUCCUGGACCGACACUGACGCUGAGGCGCGAAAGCCAGGGGAGCAAACGGGAUUAGAAACCCCCGUAGUCC
rnacentral:rRNA from 1 species